CUUGUACUCCCUCCAUCCGAAAAUACUUGUCAUUGAAAUGGAUGUAUCUAGAUGUAUUUUAGUUCUAGACACAUCCAUUUUCAUGACAAGUAAUUCUGGACGGAGGGAGUACUUG
rnacentral:pre_miRNA from 1 species